AAAGAGCUCGUAGGCGGUUGGUCACGUCGAAUGUGAAAACCCGAGGCUCAACCUCGGGCCUGCAUUCGAUACGGGCAGACUAGAGUUCGGUAGGGGAGACUGGAAUUCCUGGUGUAGCGGUGAAAUGCGCAGAUAUCAGGAGGAACACCGGUGGCGAAGGCGGGUCUCUGGGCCGAUACUGACGCUGAGGAGCGAAAGCGUGGGGAGCGAACAGG
rnacentral:rRNA from 1 species